UGGGGAAUAUUGGGCAAUGGGGGCAACCCUGACCCAGCGACGCCGCGUGAGGGAAGACGGCCUUCGGGUUGUAAACCUCUUUUGUACGGGAAGAAGGAUGUGACGGUACCGUGCGAAUAAGUCCCGGCUAACUACGUGCCAGCAGCCGCGGUAAUAAGUAGGGGACGAGAGUUGUCCGGAAUUACUGGGAGUAAAGGGCGCGCAGGCUGUAGAUCAAGUCAGCAGGGAAAUAUCUGGGCUUAACCCGGGCAUGCGGUUGAAACUGAUGUACUGGAGUGCUGUAGAGGGAAGUGGAAUUCCCCGUGUAGCGUUGAAAUGCGUAGAUAUUAGGAAGAACACCGGUGGCGAAGGCGACUUGCUGGGCAGCAACUGACGCUGAGGCGCGAAAGCCAGGGGAGCAAAC
rnacentral:rRNA from 1 species